UUUACCCUGCGAUGUUCGAGAUUAGAGGUGGGAUACCCGAACCGAUAAUUGAUGAACUUAAGGAGGCUGGGUCGCCGUAGAAAAUGACAAGCCUUGGUUGGAAGUCAGACGCUGCGGCGACGGUCAUCCACCCGUUACGAAAGGGAACGGGCGAUCCGCCCGAACGGCAUCGGCGGGGUAAAA
rnacentral:other from 1 species